AUCAUGAGUUCACAUGUCCGCAUGAUUAAAGGUAUUUUCCGGUAGACGAUGGGGAUGCGUUCCAUUAGAUAGUAGGCGGGGUAACGGCCCACCUAGUCAACGAUGGAUAGGGGUUCUGAGAGGAAGGUCCCCCACAUUGGAACUGAGACACGGUCCAAACUCCUACGGGAGGCAGCAGUGAGGAAUAUUGGUCAAUGGGCGAUGGCCUGUACCAGCCAAGUAGCGUGAAGGAUGACCGCCCUAUGGGUUGUAAACUUCUUUUAUAAAGGAAUAAAGUCGGGUAUGCAUACCCGUUUGCAUGUACUUUAUGAAUAAGGAUCGGCUAACUCCGUGCCAGCAGCCGCGGUAAUACGGAGGAUCCGAGCGUUAUCCGGAUUUAUUGGGUUUAAAGGGAGCGUAGAUGGAUGUUUAAGUCAGUUGUGAAAGUUUGCGGCUCAACCGUAAAAUUGCAGUUGAUACUGGAUGUCUUGAGUGCAGUUGAGGCAGGCGGAAUUCGUGGUGUAGCGGUGAAAUGCUUAGAUAUCACGAAGAACUCCGAUUG
rnacentral:rRNA from 1 species